AUUUAUAAGACUAUUCUUUGCCCAUUGUGUCUUCUUGGUGUCCUUGUGAAAAAUUAAUUGCCCAUAUGUGUUUGAAUCUAUUUCUAGGCUUUCUAUUCUGUUCCACUAAUCAGUAUGUUUGUUUAUAUGCACAGCCGAUAUACAUGCUCAAAUGUCCGUGUUCAUUUCCUAUUGCCCUCAAGAGUGAUAGAUGCAGGAAGCAGAUAAGGAAGGGUCCCUGAAGAAUCUCCGACCCGCCCCACAAGUGUUUAUGUUUCAUGUUUUUGUGCAGACUAAUUUCUACCUUCAGCAAAAUGUCUACCAAAGUCAAGUAAUAGGGCCUGAUCUGAAGCCGCAAUGAGUCUUCAGAUGUCAAAUAUGCCCUGAAUGCUGUGAAUGCAGAAGAUGAAAUAAUUAAUAUCAACUGGGAGAGCCAAGGAGCAAUGGGGAGGUUAACAACUUUUAAUAUUCAAUGUCAAAUAUCAGAAGCUAUGAAGCAAAUUAAUAUAGUCAUGUACCACAUACCAAUGUUUCAGUUAAUGAUGGACAGCAUAUAUCACAGUGAACCGUUGUGAAAAUAUUUUGUCAUAUAAAUAACAUGAAAAUUCUAAACAAGACAGUGAUGCUAACGAUUAAUUGUCAGAGUCUUUUUAAGAUAAGAGUAUCAGUUUGGGAAUAUAAAGAAGUGUGUUGUUGUCAUAAAAGUGGUGACUAAGAAAGUAAAUUCCGUUACUGAAGAAUGCCCACCAAGAAUAAAGAAUUGGAUGCAAAGCAGUAAGAGUUCAUUUGUUUUUGUAAUUCUGUUAUUAUUAACCUAUUAUUUUUUCUUCUGAGCCCAAGCUUGAUACUGUAUCUGAAGCACUGGGAUGGUUUAGUAAUUUAAAAUGUAAAACUUAAUAGAAUAAUACUUUGCUGCAACCUUUAAUUAUAUUUUUACAUUGAGACUUGGUCGAUAUUUGUGUUUAUUUUCUUAACUUCAAACAUAAUUGACAAUCUUCACAAAUGUCACCUUUCUAAAGAAAGGGUCAACAUUUAGCAGUGCAUUACUAGAUUUUUCACACAUAUUCAUUAUUUUGUGGUCUUUAAGUAUUUAAUGUUGAAUAAGAAAUUCAAGCUUUACUUCUACAUGCCCACAUGUCGGAUAGUUAAUAAAUAUGUUUUUCAUUUGAAUUCAUUAAAUUUGUCUGAAGUUUCAGAAACUACUAAUACU
rnacentral:lncRNA from 1 species